GGCGGAUUGUCAGCUCAUUACUGUUGCAGGCGGUGAAAUCAUGGAUUACCACCGUCAGCUCGCACCCACCAGACAACUUAUCACUGUCAAGUGUGUUCUGUGAAGUUCGUGAGGCAAUUGAAAUAGUAUCAGGUUGGCUGCUACCAUCUCCUUGACUGUCCAGGUCCUCGCCAUCUCUUCUUCCUUUCUGUUUUGUUGUUGGUGCUGUUUUCGGGAUGUGGAUUGGCUCUUUCAAUGCUCCUUUCAGAUGAAUGGUCCUUUCUUGUAUCACUUCCCGGAUGUGUUUAAUCCAGUCCUGUUUAUUCUCUAUACUGGAUGCCUUGAGAACAAUUUUGUUGUCUGAAGUUGGUGUUCUUCCAACCCACAGAGCAAACUUGCAGGGAUCUCCUUCAACGUGUUCUGUGACACCCAAUUCAGAAGUAAACAGUUUACUCUUGUAAAUGUACUUGCUCCUUCCACUUGAGUCCUUUACUUCUUUACUGAAAACCAAGGACAUCUCAAAAAGGAAAAGGUGCCUCUCUCUUCCCUUUCGAAUUAGAGUUUUG
rnacentral:lncRNA from 1 species